AUUGAACGCUGGCGGCAGGCCUAACACAUGCAAGUCGAACGUGAGGCGGACGCGUGAGUAUAGUCUGGGAAACAGCCCGCUGGAGGGGGGUAACAACAGGAAACGGUAGCUAAUACCGCAUACCCUCGGAUGUGCCCCGAUGGGAUUAGCUGGUGGGUGGGGUAACGGCUCACCUAGGCGACGAACCCUAGCUGGUCUGAGAGGAUGAACAGCCACACUGGGACUGAGACACGGUCCAGACUCCGACGGGAGGCAGCAGUGGGGAAUAUUGCACAAUGGGCGCAAGCCUGAUGCAGCCAUGCCGCGUGUAUGAAGAAGGCCUUCGGGUUGUAAAGUACUUUCGUCGGGGAGGCGUUACUCGCAGAAGAAGCACCGGCUAACUCCGUGCCAGCAGCCGCGGUAAUUC
rnacentral:rRNA from 1 species